AACCUCACCAACCGGAAGGGAUUCCUUCCGGUUGAUGAGGUAUAGCUUCCUCACCUUCAGUCAAUGAGGAAGCUAAACCUCAUCAACCGGAAGGAAUUCCUUCCGGUUGAUGAGUUC
rnacentral:miRNA from 1 species